UCAGCUUCAAAGAAGAAAGAAACAAAAGAAAAAUAAACAGAGAAAGAGGAAGAGCGGGCAAUUUCUAGGGUUUUGGUGGUGCCGGUAGAUGGCGACAUGAGAAGACUUGAAUGGAAGACGAAUCUGAAAAACACCAGCCUCAUUUCUCUAAAUACUGCAAGGUAGGGAUUCAACAUGACAUCCUUGAAGAGCUUUACAAAAAGGUCCAGGUCCAUACUGCCAUUCGUGAACCACCCAACUAGCACAAGAGAUUGAUAGCGCUUAGGGGAAAGAAGUCACUAAGCUCAAGCAACCUGGCAUAGAGGUCGACAUGCGAUGUUGAUUCGGGGAAACAAGUCGCGGUUUGCAACUGCUAUUCCGAUUAGCCUUGGGACCAUAGCGAUACAGUGGUUUUCUAACAGAAAGGCCAAAGAAGCUAUUAAAGGCGUCGCCAAGCUUACUCAUAGAGAUG